rnacentral:rRNA from 1 species
GGGUUGUGAGGUUAAGCGACUAAGCGUACACGGUGGAUGCCCUGGCAGUCAGAGGCGAUGAAGGACGUGCUAAUCUGCGAUAAGCGUCGGUAAGGUGAUAUGAACCGUUAUAACCGGCGAUUUCCGAAUGGGGAAACCCAGUGUGAUUCGUCACACUAUCAUUAACUGAAUCCAUAGGUUAAUGAGGCGAACCGGGGGAACUGAAACAUCUAAGUACCCCGAGGAAAAGAAAUCAACCGAGAUUCCCCCAGUAGCGGCGAGCGAACGGGGAGCAGCCCAGAGCCUGAAUCAGUGUGUGUGUUAGUGGAAGCGUCUGGAAAGGCGCGCGAUACAGGGUGACAGCCCCGUACACAAAAAUGCACAUGCUGUGAGCUCGAUGAGUAGGGCGGGACACGUGGUAUCCUGUCUGAAUAUGGGGGGACCAUCCUCCAAGGCUAAAUACUCCUGACUGACCGAUAGUGAACCAGUACCGUGAGGGAAAGGCGAAAAGAACCCCGGCGAGGGGAGUGAAAAAGAACCUGAAACCGUGUACGUACAAGCAGUGGGAGC